GACAGAGGAGGCGAGCGUUAUACGGAGUUAUUGGGCGUAAAGGGUAGGUAGGCGGCUGAUCAAGUCUGGGGUUAAAGACCAUAGCUUAACUGUGGGGGGGCCUUGGAAACUGGCCGGCUGGAGUGGGGCAGGGGUUGCGGGAAUUCCCGGUGUAGCGGUGAAAUGCGUAGAUAUCGGGAAGAACACCUGAGGCGAAAGCGCGUAACUGGGCCCUAACUGACGCUGAGGUGCGAAAGCUAGGGGAGCGAAUGGG
rnacentral:rRNA from 1 species